rnacentral:rRNA from 1 species
CCUACGGGCGGCAGCAGUGAGGAAUAUUGGUCAAUGGACGCGAGUCUGAACCAGCCAAGCCGCGUGAAGGAAGACGGCCCUAUGGGUUGUAAACUUCUUUUGUACGAGAGUAAACGCAGAUACGCGUAUCUUUCUGAAAGUAUCCUACGAAUAAGGAUCGGCUAACUCCGUGCCAGCAGCCGCGGUAAUACGGAGGAUUCAAGCGUUAUCCGGAUUUAUUGGGUUUAAAGGGUGCGUAGGGGGGCUGAUAAGUUAGCGGUGAAAGCUCGGGGCUCAACGUCUGGAUUGCCUGUGAUACUGGCCGGCUAGAGAGUAGUUGGGGUAGGCGGAAUGCAUGGUGUAGCGGUGAAAUGCUUAGAGAUCAUGCAGAACACCGAUUGCGAAGGCAGCUUACCAAGCUACCACUGACGUUGAGGCACGAAAGUGUGGGGAGCAAACAGGAUUAGAUACCCCUGUAGUC